rnacentral:rRNA from 1 species
UACGGAGGGGGCUAGCGUUGUUCGGAAUUACUGGGCGUAGAGCGCACGUAGGCGGCUUUGUAAGUUAGAGGUGAAAGCCCGGGGCUCAACUCCGGAAUUGCCUUUAAAACUGCAUCGCUAGAAUUGUGGAGAGGUAAGUGGAAUUCCGAGUGUAGAGGUGAAAUUCGUAGAUAUUCGGAAGAACACCAGUGGCGAAGGCGACUUACUGGACACAUAUUGACGCUGAGGUGCGAAAGCGUGGGGAGCAAACAGG